GAUGAAGAACGUAGCGAAAUGCGAUAAGUAAUGUGAAUUGCAGAAUUCAGUGAAUCAUCGAAUCUUUGAACGCACAUUGCGCCCUCUGGUAUUCCGGGGGGCAUGCCUGUUCGAGCGUCAUUAUAACCACUCAAGCUCUCGCUUGGUAUUGGGGUUCGCGGUUCCGCGGCCCCUAAAAUCAGUGGCGGUGCCUGUCGGCUCUACGCGUAGUAAUACUCCUCGCGAUUGAGUCCGGUAGGUCUACUUGCCAGCAACCCCCAAUGUUUACAGGUUGACCUCGGAUCAGGUAGGGAUACCCGCUGAACUUAAGCAUAUCAAUAAGCGGAGGA
rnacentral:misc_RNA from 1 species